UGUAUUCCCAUGCCAAUGCUGCUGACAUAGGACAUGCAUGAACUCUUUUAUGAACUCAGAGCCAUUUUCGUGUCAAUAUCAUGAGUUAUGAUUAUUCAGGCUAUGGAGCAUCAACAGGCAAGCCAACCGAGCUCAACACAUACUAUGACAUAGAGACAGUGUACAAUUGUUUGCAGAAGGAAUAUGGGGUUAAGCAGGAGGAUUUGAUUCUUUAGGGUCAAUCCGUCGGAAGCGGACCAACUCUCCACUUGGCUUCUCAUUUACCGAAACUUCGAGGAGUCAUUCUCCAUAGCGCCAUCCUCUCCGGCAUACGAGUCUUGUAUCCUGUAAGAUGACAUUUUGGUUUGAUAUAUUUAAGUAAAAUAUCGACAAAAUCCGACGGGUAACUUGUCCGGUUCUAGUUAUGCAUGGUACGAAUGACGAAACAGUUGACUGGUCACAUGGGAAGCAAUUAUGGGAACUUUCCCAGGAAAAGUACGAGCCAUAUGGGUCAAGGGCGGCGGCCAUUGAACCUAGAAUCGUAUCCGGAGUACACCAACACCUAAACAACUUCAUAAACGCGAUGGAGAUGAUUGGGCCAAAAGAUCAGAACAAAUAAUGCUAACCCCAGUAUACGGAAUCGAAACAUAACAAAUGCUUGAGAUUCAAGAAAAGGGUAGCCACAUGAAAAGGGCUGUUACAUCGUCCCAAGAAUCGAUCCCCUUGAUAGGCGGUGACUCAUGGUACAUUUUGCAGAUAUGUAGUUUGCUUGAUCCCGAGUCCGGACCCU